rnacentral:rRNA from 1 species
UACGUAGGGGGCAAGCGUUAUCCGGAAUUACUGGGUGUAAAGGGAGCGUAGACGGUAAUGUAAGUCUGGAGUGAAAGGCGGGGGCCCAACCCCCGGACCGCUCUGGAAACUAUGUUACUAGAGUGCAGGAGAGGUAAGCGGAAUUCCUAGUGUAGCGGUGAAAUGCGUAGAUAUUAGGAGGAACACCAGUGGCGAAGGCGGCUUACUGGACUGUAACUGACGUUGAGGCUCGAAAGCGUGGGGAGCAAACAGG